rnacentral:rRNA from 1 species
GAUGAACGCUGGCGGCGUGCCUAAUACAUGCAAGUCGAGCGAACAGACGAGGAGCUUGCUCCUCUGACGUUAGCGGCGGACGGGUGAGUAACACGUGGAUAACCUACCUAUAAGACUGGGAUAACUUCGGGAAACCGGAGCUAAUACCGGAUAAUAUAUUGAACCGCAUGGUUCAAUAGUGAAAGACGGUUUUGCUGUCACUUAUAGAUGGAUCCGCGCCGCAUUAGCUAGUUGGUAAGGUAACGGCUUACCAAGGCAACGAUGCGUAGCCGACCUGAGAGGGUGAUCGGCCACACUGGAACUGAGCAACGGUCCAGACUCCUACGGGAGGCAGCAGUAGGGAAUCUUCCGCAAUGGGCGAAAGCCUGACGGAGCAACGCCGCGUGAGUGAUGAAGGUCUUCGGAUCGUAAAACUCUGUUAUUAGGGAAGAACAAAUGUGUAAGUAACUAUGCACGUCUUGACGGUACCUAAUCAGAAAGCCACGGCUAACUACGUG